rnacentral:lncRNA from 1 species
GAAGUAAAAUUGUGUAUGUGACAGUAUAUUUUCUGAAGUUCUGACAAGAUCAUAAAAGGUUCUGAAGUUUGGAGUUGAAUAAUGUAUAGUCUUACAGAAGAGCCCCUAACCCACUGUCAGUUUAAGGGGUCCUCCUCGGCUCCUCCCCACUCAGGGUUGAAAUGCCUGGUUUUUAGUGGCUCUUUGUUAUGGUUAUUGUUCAUUCUUAGGUUCAGGCCAGGGCUCAUCCAGAAAACAUUAUCUUAAUUCCUUCCCUCAUAGCCUUAAUAGUACAUUUUAUUAAGACAUGUUGAAAAUACAUCUGUGUCCUGUUUUGAGAUUAUUGUUCCAUAAGUGAAUUAGCUUUCAUCUAAUCAGUCUGAGUUAUUUCCAUUUAGCCUUGUUAAAGAACAAGCCAGUCUGGAAAAAGCAAUCCCGUGAUGCAUGACGUUGGUAUAUCCAUGUUCUCUAUUUUAAUAAUGGGAAGUAUUUUGAAACCCACAGAAGAAAUGUUUGAUGCUUUGUAAUAAAAACCAAAAGCAUUUGCAAAUGCUUUGUAAUCAGAGUGAUAGAUUCUAGAGAGCAGAGUAGAUAAGGAUAAUGGGAAGGCGGGGAGGUGCUUGGAGAUUUCCUAAACCACGCUAUGCCAUUUGCUUAUAUAUCCAAAGGGCUACUCUGGAGCCAUUGCCUGAUCCAUCAGUGGUUAAAAGUGAUUGUGUUUCCUUGCUAAAUGUUUAAGCAGCUGACAACCAUGAGACAUGCUUUCCUUACUGUUUCGUAUCGUAUGCUGAUGCCAACCAAGGUCACCAAAGGCCUUGAAGGAGAACUAUCACAUAGUCUUGUCUUUUUUCUUCAAAAUAUAAACAAAUCCAAACUAAUCCAUUUGAGUCAACUUGUUUUCCAUGUCUCCCUGUCAUGAGAAAUGCUGUCCACAUGUAUGGUUUCCACACUAAGAACUCGGUACCAAUUGUUACUUAGUUUUUCUGUUCUACUGAGUGGUUUUUCUUCUGUCAGACUAUAUUUUCUCACCUCAAAGCACUGAAUGUGUUGCUGUGAUACACGGAUGAAUCCUGAGCCAUGGUUUUAACAGCUCAGUUCUGGUGUUUUUAUAUUAUGUGACAGUUUUGUGAGAUGCUUUUGUGCAUUUUUUUGUCUUCUUUUCCAAGUUUUGAAAUCUGUCAUGAAUAAACUUUUUCACUGUGCACC